CCUAGCGUUAAACGUUAGGCGAACAAUGUGCAUGUUCAGUCGGUUGUCGGAGGCGCCAACGUGUAAAAUUUUUUUUAUACUUUAUUCUUAAUUUCCUUCCAGUAGAGUUAUCUUAGCCUGUUAUCUAGAAGCCGACAGGAAAACAGUGAGUCAGAGACUGUUUGAUCUAGAACAGACUGUUUAUGUUUAAGGAGAGAAACGUUUCUGUUGUGAUUUUGUGAAAACCCCAAAAAGCCUCAGCGUUGGAGGAAAGGCAACUACAAAAGAUGGCGGAUUCAAAACAUGGUUUAGCCUAGCCUGUUAGCUGGAAGGAGACGGGAACGCAGCGAGUCAGAGAAAGUUUGAUKAUGCUGAGAAACGUUUCUAUUUUCACUUUGUGAAAAUCUCAGAAGGUCCCAGCGUCGGAGAGAAAACGAUUAACAAAUGGAGGAACCAGCACACGACGUCCAGCAGCUCAUGGGGAUCAAAGAGGAGGAGAACUGGAGUCUCAAACCAGACCAGGAGGACCAGAAGCCUCCACAGAUUAAAGAGGAGCAGCAGGAGAACGAGAUCACYGAGUUACCAUUCGAUCCAGUUCCUGUGAAAAGUGAAGAUGAUGAAGAGAAACCUCGGAUCCCAGAGCUUCAUCUCAGCCAAACUGAGAAAAACAGAGACCUUGUGGGACCAGAACCAGAUCAAUGUUUAAAAUCAGUUUGUAGCAAAGCCUUUACUUUAAAAACUAAUUUAGAAAAGCACACAAAAAUACAUGGUUUUAAGACUAAAAACACUUUGGUAGAACACACAAUAACUGACGUUAGCGAAAGGCCCUUUAGCUGCUCAGUCUGCAGCCAAAGCUUCAAGUUUAGGUCCCAUCUAUCUGCUCAUGUGUGUGGAAACAAGCCUUACAGCUGCUUAGUCUGUAGAAAGACCUUUGCUUACCUUACGAGCCUAAAAUACCACCUGAGACGUCACGCAGGAGGAAAGCUGUAGAGCUGCUCCGUCUGUAAGGAGACGUUCAAGUGGAAAAACAUUCGAGAGCCACGCAAGAAUACAUACGGAAGAAAACCCUCCAGCUGCACAGACUGAGGUCAAAGCUUCAGCCAGACUCUGACUUGAAGAAUAAGCUGUUCACUUUUCAGCUUUUCUGUCUGAAGUAUUUCUUUAGAGGAAAUAAGCCUCGGAGGGGAAAACACUGGACCUUAAGCUGAAGAGAAGCUGUGUAACUAUAAAACAUUUAUUGUAAUUGGAACUAAAUAUGAUGACAUGAUUUGAUUGUUUUGGUUUGAAUUGAAUCUUGACUCAACUGGACCCAGUUUAAGGUAGUUUUUAAAGUAAAAUCAAGAACCCAAUAGUUGGCCCAGAGCAUCUUCUUUAUGUCACUGUUAUACAACAACAGAGUUUCUUCAAUUCAAAAAUAUUUUAUUAACCUCAGAGGGAAAGCAAGUGGCUUUUUUAAUCACUCCUGGAAGGUUUAGGAAGAUAAAAAUCUCAAAUCUGGCAACUGCUAUUUAUGAACUGAAAUGGCUCAACUUGAGUUUUUGUUAAUUAUUAGUUUUCUUUUAAAGGACUCAAUGAAGUCCAUUAAACUUUUUUGUGAGAAGACAUUUUUUACUCAUUUCUUUCUUCUUUUGUCUUAAUUUUGACGGCUUUGGAUGUAAUCACAUUUGUCUGAAAAACACAUUGUACAGAUGAAAUAAACAUAAAAUUGUUUUCAACCUUGA